rnacentral:rRNA from 1 species
GAUGAACGCUGGCGGCGUGCCUAUUCCAUCAAAUUCAAGCAACAGAACGGGAGGUUUCCUCCUCUGCCUUUGCCGCCGACGGGGUGGGUACCCCUGGGUAACCCACCCUUAAGAAUGGGAUUACCUUCGGAAAACCGAGCCUAAACCCGAUUAUAUAUUUAAACCGCAUGUUUCAAUGUUAAAGACCGUUUUUGCUUUACCUAAUAGAUGAACCGCGCCGCAUUAGCUAGUUGGUAAGGUAACGGCUUACCAAGGCAACGAUGCGUAGCCGACCUGAGAGGGUGAUCGGCCACACUGGAACUGAGACACGGUCCAGACUCCUACGGGAGGCAGCAGUAGGGAAUCUUCCGCAAUGGGCGAAAGCCUGACGGAGCAACGCCGCGUGAGUGAUGAAGGUCUUCGGAUCGUAAAACUCUGUUAUUAGGGAAGAACAAAUGUGUAAGUAACUAUGCACGUCUUGACGGUACCUAAUCAGAAAGCCACGGCUAACUACGUG